UCCUGUGACUCCUCACUAGGACUACCCUGACCAAGAUUUUGCUAAAUUAAAAUAUGACUGUACAUAGCUCCUAAACUGGAGUGGUCAAUCCCAUCUUGACACAUGCACUGACAAGUCAAGUACUUGACUACACCCAGCAGCCUUCCAUCACUGAAUUAGAAAUUCAGGUAGUCCAGUGCCUAAGUGCAGUGAGUUGCUUACAAGUCACCGUGAC
rnacentral:lncRNA from 1 species